rnacentral:rRNA from 1 species
ACGGCUCAGUAACACGUGGAUAACCUACCCUUAGGACAGGGAUAAACCCGGGAAACUGGGUAUAAUACCCGAUAGAUCUCGAAUGCUGGAAUGCAUCGAGAUCGAAAGCUCCGGCGCCUAAGGAUGGAUCUGCGGCCUAUCAGGUAGUAGUGGGUGUAGCGUACCUACUAGCCUACGACGGGUACGGGUUGUGGGAGCAAGAGCCCGGAGAUGGAUUCUGAGACACGAAUCCAGGCCCUACGGGGUGCAGCAGGCGCGAAAACUUUACAAUGCCGGCAACGGCGAUAAGGGGACCUCGAGUGCCAGGUUACAAAUCUGGCUGUCGAGAUGCCUAAAAAGCAUUUCUUAGCAAGGGCCGGGCAAGACCGGUGCCAGCCGCCGCGGUAACACCGGCGGCUCGAGUGGUAACCGUUAUUAUUGGGUCUAAAGGGUCUGUAGCCGGCCGGAUAAGUCUCUUGGGAAAUCUGGCAGCUUAACUGUCAGGCUUUCAGGAGAUACUGUCUGGCUCGAGGCCGGGAGAGGUGAGAGGUACUUCAGGGGUAGGGGUGAAAUCUUGUAAUCCUUGAAGGACCACCAGUGGCGAAGGCGUCUCACCAGAACGGACCUGACGGCAAGGGACGAAAGCUAGGGGCACGAACCGGAUUAGAUACCCGGGUAGUCCUAGCCGUAAACGAUACUCGCUAGGUGUCAGGCAUGGCGCGACCGUGUCUGGUGCCGCAGGGAAGCCGUGAAGCGAGCCACCUGGGAAGUACGGCCGCAAGGCUGAAACUUAAAGGAAUUGGCGGGGGAGCAC